rnacentral:rRNA from 1 species
AUGGCGCCGCAGUCGCGCUGGUGCGGGCCAACCGACGGGGCUGUCGAUUGGGGCCGCUCCGACGCCCCCACGGUGGAGGUGGUCGGGCCCGACGGGGUCGACUUUGUCGCCGACGAUGACGCCCUGGCGUUCGGCUCCGGGGUCACGGACCUAAACAUGGCAGGGCCGUUGGAGCUGGUGGUCUCCAAUGGCGUUGGCGAGGGCCUCGCAGAGCUCGAGUUGCUGUCGGUUUCUCGGUUUGCUGCGCUGCUCUUCACAGUCAUGCAGCUGGCCAUCGCCGCUAGGGAUUUGUCGUCCAAGGCAGUCAAUCCUUUCCUGUAA